CCGGUUGUCAUUAAGGAGUGGGGAGCUGGGUGCCAGGGACCACUCCGGCUGGCAUCCUGGGAGGGUCCCAGAGGGUAGGAAGGUCCUGAUGAUAGUAGACCUGAGACUGGACUAAGGGGAUGUGUCCCUUCUGACCCUCCCCCAGGGCUUUCCACCCCAGAGGCCUACAGUAACAGUAGCAGUAACAGCAGAAGGAGAAUCAAGAUGGACAGGUCCAUCCGAGCCCCAGCCUUCCACACCUGCCCCAGCCAGAAGAGCGGUCCCCUCCUGACUUGCUCUGAGGAGGAUGUGAAGUCAGUUUCAGGCCUACAUGGGCUAACCACAGCAAGGUCUUGACCACAAGAUGUGGCCUGAAGGCCGAGUGGCAGAGCUGGUCCCCACCUAGACUUUUGGGCAGGCCAUGGGGGUGGGGUGGGGGCUCUGGAGAAAGGGGGUGACCAGGGCUGGAGAGCUAGAGAGGCCGGGACAUGAAUCCUUCUGUGUUGAAGAUGGGCAGCUUCGCCAGACCCACUUUUCUUGGCCCAGCAAGAAGACAGAGGACAAUUGUGACCUCAGAAUGACCCCUGCCCUUUGGCCACCCCCCCCCUUGCUCUCAAGAAGACAAUAAAGGUGACUUUUCUC
rnacentral:lncRNA from 1 species